GAAGGUUAAUAUUUAUUCUUCUCUUAUUUGGAUGAGAAUUACCUACAUCAAAUAGGUAUGACAUUGGGUGCUGCUACUAGGUACUCUACUUAUAUUUCAACGAUACUGGAAAAAUUCAUAACUCAGGUAAGGGUGUUAUCUUGCAAGCUACAGAGCUAGUAAUUAGUCAUAUUUCGAUCCUUUGAGAUUCUUUCAUCAUUCAGAAAUAAAAAACUAAAUUCAGCUGGAACAGGCACAUUUCUAGGAAGGAAUAUGACGGAUCAUUUAUAUCUCAUCGUCAUCUCACUUAUCAAACAAUGCUUCUCGUCCUCAUCUUGUUGAGAGCAGGCGAAGAUUUGAAAUGCGCGCUACAGAUUCGGUAGUCGCCUGGCAAAAGUGGUACCCGCAUUGUACCCGCCUGACGUCACAAAACUUCAAGAUGGCAACAAAAAUCAAACUGGGACAAUAAUCAAAGAAAAGGACUGUGGUGGUUGCAAAGGAAUACCUAAAUGAUCAUUCAUUUUUUCGAACCCUUAUAAUUUAAAAAAAUUAAUUUGAAGAAGCACGUAUUCGGAGACUUUACACUUUACUGGGAGAACAUCCAAUGCCCAGCAUGAGCAUUGGAAACGUCAUUCGUGAACUCAAAAUGACCGACUUGUUUAAGUUUCAAGUUCUCAGAGGUGCAUCACUGCAAAAGAAAUGUAAAUAUAAACAUAACCUCAAACUUUCACAUGUCACCUCUGUUUGUGAUUUUGUGAAAAACAUUUUCUUGUCGUAUACUCUUAAGUGUUUUUUAGCAUCCACUUUGCUUCUUUAAGGUGUCUUUUAUCAAGAAGAGUCCACACAGGACGGUGAAUUAAAUACAUCGGAUGUGUGUUCCUCAGGAAGAUUUGGAAGUCAAAUUUGAUGUAACGCCACUUCACAUUGACUCCUGAAAAAGAAGUUUGAAAACUAUGGAGUUAUGUGAAGCAUAUAAAAUACUUGUCACCCUCACGGAUAAUGUGAAAAACAAAGACGAUGAAAUGCACUUAAAAAAGGAAGUAAAAAAGCAAUUAUUGCCAGCUUUCACAAGCCGGGAAGAGAGUAGAAUAACAGAGGCAUUGCAGUGUUAUCGAGAUGUAUGUAAUAAAUUAAGAACCAAUAACUUUGAGUGGGAUGUUCUAGAUGAUAUAGACGACUUGCUUCUCUCUAUAAUGGAAAAUGAGCAAAAUCUUGCCUUGCGGAAAUGUUAUGAAGAAAUUAUACUAGCGGUUGUCUGUGACUCAGGCUUAUCUAGCUUGAAAUGGUCAAAUAGAUUAACUGCGCUGUUCAAGGAUUACUGCAGGGUUGAUAUUGGACCAGGAUCUGGGCUAAAUAGCCUCAAGGCUCUCAAAGCUUUUAUACAAAUACUUGGCCACGUUUAA
rnacentral:lncRNA from 1 species